UACGGGGGGGGCAAGCGUUGUUCGGAAUUACUGGGCGUAAAGGGCUCGUAGGCGGCCAACUAAGUCAGACGUGAAAUCCCUCGGCUUAACCGGGGAACUGCGUCUGAUACUGGAUGGCUUGAGUUUGGGAGAGGGAUGCGGAAUUCCAGGUGUAGCGGUGAAAUGCGUAGAUAUCAGGAGGAACACCGGUGGUGUAGACGGCUUACUGGACCACGACUGACACUGAGGCACGAAAGCGUGGGUAGCAAACAGG
rnacentral:rRNA from 1 species